CCCAGGCGGCUGCCGAAGAUGGCGGAGGUGCAGGUUCUGGUGCUUGAUGGUGGAGGCCAUCUCCUGGGCCGCCUGGGGGCCAUCGUGGCUAAACAGGUACUGCGGGGCUGGAAGGUGGUGGUCGUACGCUGCGAAGGCAUCAACAUUUCUGGCAAUUUCUACAGAAACAAGUUGAAGUACCUGGCUUUCCUCUGCAAAUGGAUGAACACCAACCCUUCCCGAGGCCCCUACCACUUCCGGGCGCCCAGUAGCAUCUUCUGGCAGACAGCGCCAGGCAUGCUACCCCACAAGACCAAGCAAGGCCAGGCCGCCCUGGACCGCCUCAAGGUAUCUGACUGCAUCCCACCGCCCUACAACAAGAAAAAGCGGAUGGUGGUUCCUGCUGCCCUCAAGGUCGUGCGUCUGUUUGCCUACAAGAAAGUUUGCCUAUCUGGGGCGCUUGGCUCACGAGGUUGGCUGGAAGUACCAGGCAGUGACAGUCACCCUGGAGGAGAAGAGGAAGGAGAAAGCCAAGAUCCCGUACCGGAAGAAGAAACAGCUCAUGAGGCUACGGAAACAGGCCGAGAAGAACGUGGAGAAGAAAACUGACAAAUACACAGAGGUCCUCAAGACCCAUGGACUCCUGGUCUGAGCCCAAUAAAGACUGUUUA